CUACGGGAGGCACCAGUGAGGAAUAUUGCACAAUGGGGGGAACCCUGAUGCAGCAACGCCGCGUGGAGGAUGACGCAUUUCGGUGUGUAAACUCCUUUUAUAUGUCAAGAAAAUGACGGUAGCAUAUGAAUAAGCACCGGCUAACUCCGUGCCAGCAGCCGCGGUAAUACGGAGGGUUCAAGCGUUACUCGGAAUCACUGGGCGUAAAGGACGCGUAGGCGGGUUGGAAAGUCAGGUGUGAAAUCCUACAGCUUAACUGUAGAACUGCACUUGAAACUUCUAAUCUAGAGUAUGGGAGGGGGAGAUGGAAUUAGUGGUGUAGGGGUAAAAUCCGUAGAUAUCACUAGGAAUACCUAAAGCGAAGGCGAUCUCCUGGAACAUUACUGACGCUAAGGCGUGAAAGCGUGGGGAGCAAACAGGAUUAGAUACCCCCGUAGUC
rnacentral:rRNA from 1 species